CCGCAAUGGGCGAAAGCCUGACGGAGCGACGCCGCGUGACCGAAGACGCCCUUCGGGGUGUAAAGGUCUUUUCUAGGGGACCAAUAUCCCGAUUUAUCGGGGUGAGUGUACCCUAGGAAUAAGGGGCCGCCAAACUCGUGCCAGCAGCGGCGGUAAGACGAGUGCCCCAAGCGUUAUCCGGAAUUACUGGGCGUAAAGCGUCUGUAGGGGGCUUGAUAAGUCUCCUGUCAAAUUCCGAUGCUCAACAUCGGAACCGCAGGAGAAACUAUCAAACUAGAGGGUGCGAGAGGCUGAUGGAACUCAGGGAGUAGGGGUGAAAUCCGUUGAUACCCUGACGGAACACCAAAGGCGAA
rnacentral:rRNA from 1 species